rnacentral:rRNA from 1 species
GACGAACGCUGGCGGCGUGCUUAACACAUGCAAGUCGAACGGAAAGGCCCUGCUUUUGUGGGGUGCUCGAGUGGCGAACGGGUGAGUAACACGUGAGUAACCUGCCCUUAACUUUGGGAUAACUUCAGGAAACUGGGGCUAAUACCGGAUAGGAGCUCCUGCUGCAUGGUGGGGGUUGGAAAGUUUCGGUGGUUGGGGAUGGACUCGCGGCUUACCAGCUUGUUGGUGGGGUAGUGGCUUACCAAGGCUUUGACGGGUAGCCGGCCUGAGAGGGUGACCGGCCACAUUGAGACUGAGAUACGGCCCAGACUCCUACGGGAGGCAGCAGUGGGGAAUAUUGCACAAUGGGCGGAAGCCUGAUGCAGCAACGCCGCGUGCGAGAUGACGGCCUUCGGGUUGUAACCCGCUUUCGCCUGUGACGAAGCGUGAGUGACGGUAAUGGGUAGAGAAGCACCGGCUAACUACGUG